UAGGGAGCGAGCGUUAUCCGGAAUUAUUGGGCGUAAAGGGUGCGUAGAUGGUUUAGAAAGUCUUGUGUAAAAAUGCUGGGCUCAACCCAGUAGGGCAGAAGAUACUAAUAGACUAGAGUAUGACAGAGGCAAGUGGAACUACAUGUGUAGCGGUAAAAUGCGUAAAUAUAUGUAAGAACACCGGUGGCGAAGGCGGCUUGCUGGGUCGAUACUGACAUUGAGGCACGAAAGCGUGGGGAGCAAA
rnacentral:rRNA from 1 species